CCCUAGCCCCGAUAGAAGUGGAAAUCCUUUUUCUGGCUUCUUUAGCCAGGAAAAGAUUGAAACGGAUAGCGGGAAAUAGC
rnacentral:sRNA from 1 species